UUUUUUAUUUUUCAAAAUUUGAAAUCUUAUCCCAAAACUCAACUCCCCAACUCUAAACCCUAAAACCUAAACUCUAAACCCUAAAUCCUAAACCCUAAACCCUAAAUCCUAAACCCCAUCCCUUAACUCUAAAUCCUAAACUCUAAACCCCACCCCUAAACUCUAAACCCUAUACUCUAAACUCUAAACCCUAAAUCCUAAACCCCACCUCUUAACUCUAAACCCUAAACCCUAAACUCUAAACCCUAAACCCUAAACCCCACACCCUAAACCCUAAACCCUAAAUCCUAAACCCCACUCCU
rnacentral:lncRNA from 1 species